CAGACAGUAAAUGAAAUAAAAUCAAAACAUAUGUUUGUGACAGAGAUGCGGGUUUGAUGUUGUUGUUUCCAAUCGGUGGCAAUGUGAUAUGGCAUUACCGAAGGUGGAGGGCUAUGCCAUUGUUGAGAAAAUAGGCGCUGGAAGUUAUGCUUCAGUAUAUAAAGCGUUUAAAAAAGUUGGUGCAAGAGAGGUAGUUGCUGUGAAAUGUGUGGAUAAAUCUAGACUGAGUGGAUCUGCCAUUGAUAAUCUGGUAACAGAAAUAUCACUCCUGAAAGUCCUGAAACAUAAAAAUAUUGUUGAAAUGAAAGAUUUCAUGUGGGAUGAAAGGAACAUCUACAUUGUCAUGGAGUACUGCAAUGGUGGAGACUUGUCUUGUUUCAUACGUAAACGCAGAAAAUUACCAGAGACAGUAUGCAGGAAGUUUCUACAGCAGCUGGCUGUAGCUCUAAAAUUUCUCAGAUCUCACAAUGUCUGUCAUAUGGAUUUGAAGCCACAGAAUCUUCUCCUAACAUCCACUCCAAAAUUAAUCUUAAAACUUGCAGAUUUUGGUUUUGCCCAGUACUUGUCACCUGAAGACUACAACAGCUCUCUCCGAGGUUCACCUCUGUAUAUGGCACCUGAGAUGCUGCUGAAACGUCACUACGACGCCUCUGUUGACCUGUGGUCAGUCGGUGUCAUAAUGUAUGAGUGCCUGUUUGGACGAGCACCUUAUUCAUCCAGUAAUUUUAAAGAGCUAGCAGAAAAGAUAAAAAGCGAAAUGCCUAUUGAGGUUCCUCAUGGUGGGUGCAUUUCAGAUGACUGCAGAGACCUGCUUGUUAGACUUCUUAAACAUAAUCCCUCUGAGAGGAUUGAUUAUGAGUCCUUUUUUAAUCAUCCUUUCCUUGACCUGGAACACAUGCCAUCACCAGAAUCCUAUCAGAAAGCUGUGGAGCUGGUACAGAAGGCAGUGAAAUGUGAUGCUGAACAGAAAUUCAGUGAGGCAUUUGACUUUUAUUGUGAAUCCUUGAGGUAUUUUGUUCCUCUUGUGAAUGAUGAAGAUGAUACCAAGAAAAAAAUAGCCUUUCGUAAUAAGGUAAAUGAAUAUAUAAGACGAGCAGAAGACCUGAAAACUCUUCUGUACGAGAAAGAAAACAACUGUAAACAUCCCAAGGGUCAACAUACCACAGAUGGAACUUUAGAAGAACUAAUGCGAUUGUGUGCGACAAACUCCACAAUGCAAACCGCUCUGGAAAUUGGUGCUUCUGCAGAGCAGUAUUUGAAAGAGGGACAGUACUCACAUGCAUUGGAAAAAUUUCAAUCUUGUCUAGGUUUACUUGUGCCACUGCUGAGCAGUGAACCAAAAGGAAGAAGACGUGACCUCUUACAUACACAAGUGCAGCAGUGGUUAACACAAGCUGAAAACAUUAAGUCUUUCUUAAAUCUCAUUAGUAUCACCGAUGACACAGCAGCACUUUCUAAAGAAGCCUGUAGUAUACAAUGAAGUUCAUUUGAUGAGAACCAAUGGAGUGUUAUCUAGUUACAUCCAAGCAUUCUUUUGAAACUACAAAUUGAUACCACAAAGUUGGACACUUUAUAAAGCUUUCAGAAUUGUCACUGAUGGUAAUUCUUUGGGGAUGACAACAAUUUUCUUUGUAUCUGCGUAAUACUUACAUAUUUAUGAACCCAACAAUAACAUGAAGGGAAAGUAAUAAAAAUGGAAACACUUCAGCACUUUCGCCUUGGUGUUUAUACACUUAGCUAUGCUAUGCUUAAUCUUCUGCACUGCUGCACUCCAUGCGAAGAAAAACAAGCUUUUGGAAGAAGUGUUACCAUCGCCAACACUUUGAAUAGUGGUGGAAUAUGUUAUUUUCAAUGCUAAAAAUACAGAACAUUGUAAGAAUCAUCCACCAGAGUGGGAAACCUCUGGAAAUGUCCUGUAAUGUGGCUUGAGUACAUGUAGAUUAGAACAAAUUAAUGUCAUUCACAGACUAAUUCAUGCAUUAAAAUUAUUAGCAACAUAUUGCAAGAUUCGUGGAUGAACUGAAUUUAUGUCAUUUGAGCAUGUAGGAUUACAUUUUGUACA